UACAGAGGGUGCAAACGUUGUUCGGAAUUACUGGGCGUAAAGCGCGUGUAGGCGGCCAUCUAAGUCGGGCGGCAAAUCGAGGCUCAACCUCGUGGAAACUGAUAAUACUGUCUUGCUUGAGUGCAGAAGAGGUUAACGGAACUCCAUGUGGAGCGGUAAAAUGUGUAGAUAUAUGGAAGAACAUCAAUAACGGCGAAGGCAGUUAACUAUUCUGUUACUGACGUUGAGGCACGAAAGCGUGGGGAGCAAAAAGG
rnacentral:rRNA from 1 species